ACUUUCAGCAAUGUGCACAACUGC
rnacentral:siRNA from 1 species